AUUAGACGAAUCAUCUGGAAAGAUGAAUCAAAGAAGGUAAUAAUCCUGUAGUCGAAAAUGUUGUCUCUCUUGAGUGGAUCCUGAGUACGACGGAGCACGUGAAAUUCCGUCGGAAUCUGGGAGGACCAUCUCCUAAGGCUAAAUACUCUCUAGUGACCGAUAGUGAACCAGUACCGUGAGGGAAAGGUGAAAAGCACCCCGGAAGGGGAGUGAAAUAGAACCUGAAACCGUGUGCUUACAAGUAGUCAGAGCCCGUUAAUGGGUGAUGGCGUGCCUUUUGUAGAAUGAACCGGCGAGUUACGAUUUGAUGCAAGGUUAAGCAGUAAAUGUGGAGCCGUAGCGAAAGCGAGUCUGAAUAGGGCGUUUAGUAUUUGGUCGUAGACCCGAAACCAGGUGAUCUACCCUUGGUCAGGUUGAA
rnacentral:rRNA from 1 species